rnacentral:tRNA from 1 species
GUUCUUAUCGUCUAAUGGUUAGGACACUACUCUUUCACAGUAGUAAUACGGGUUCAAAUCCCGUUAAGAAUA